CAUAGGUUUGGUCCCAGCCUUUCUAUUGGCUGCUAGCAAAACUACACAUGCAAGUAUCCGCCCUCCAGUGAGAAUGCCCUACAAAUCACCUCAGUGAUAAAAAGGAGCAGGUAUCAAGCACACUAUCCAAGUAGCUCAUAACACCUUGCUCAACCACACCCCCACGGGAAACAGCAGUGAUAAAAAUUAAGCAAUAAACGAAAGUUUGACUAAGUUAUGCUUAUCUAAGGGUUGGUAAAUUUCGUGCCAGCCACCGCGGUCAUACGAUUAACCCUAGUCAAUAGACCUACGGCGUAAAGCGUGUUUAAGGAACUUCCCUAUAAAGUCAAACCUUAGCUAUGCUGUAAAAAGCUACAGCUACCGUAAGCCCUAGUACGAAAGUAACUUUAAAAUGCCUGAAUACACGACAGCUAAGACCCAAACUGGGAUUAGAUACCCCACUAUGCUUAGCCCUAAACUUAAAGAGCCCUUACAACAAGGCUCUUCGCCAGAGUACUACUAGCCAAAGCUUAAAACUCAAGGGACUUGGCGGUGCUUUAUAUCCCUCUAGAGGAGCCUGUUCUAUAAUCGAUAAACCCCGAUAAACCUCACCAACCCUUGCCAAACCAGCCUAUAUACCGCCAUCUUCAGCAAACCUUAAAAAAGAACCAUAGUAAGCCCAACCACAACUCGUAAAAACGUUAGGUCAAGGUGUAGCCUAUGGGUUGGAAAGAAAUGGGCUACAUUUCCUACCACUAGGAUAUUACCUUUUUAUACGAAAGUCCCCAUGAAAUCAAGGACUAAAGGUGGAUUUAGCAGUAAACUAAGAAUAGAGAGCUUAGUUGAAUAAGGCCAUGAAGCACGCACACACCGCCCGUCACCCUCCUCAAAUAUAUAACGGUACUACCCAACUCUAUUAUAACCUACCACAGUUACUAGAGGAGAUAAGUCGUAACAAGGUAAGCGUACUGGAAAGUGCGCUUGGACAACU
rnacentral:ncRNA from 1 species